rnacentral:hammerhead_ribozyme from 1 species
AUCCAGUUGAUGAGUCCGAAAUAGGACAAAACGUACGUCCUGGAU